UACGUAGGGGGCUAGCGUUGUCCGGAUUUAUUGGGCGUAAAGAGCGUGUAGGCGGCCAGGUAGGUCUGGUGUGAAAACUCGAGGCUUAACCUCGAGAUGUCAUCGGAAACCAUCUGGCUAGAGUCCGGAAGAGGAGAGUGGAAUUCCUGGUGUAGCGGUGAAAUGCGCAGAUAUCAGGAAGAACACCAAUGGCGAAAGCAGCUCUCUGGGACGGUACUGACGCUGAGACGCGAAAGCGUGGGAGCAAACAGG
rnacentral:rRNA from 1 species